UACGAAGGGGGCUAGCGUUGCUCGGAAUUACUGGGCGUAAAGGGAGCGUAGGCGGGUUAUCAAGUUGGGGGUGAAAGCCCGGGGCUCAACCUCGGAAUUGCCUUCAAAACUGAUAACCUGGAGUAUGGAAGAGGUAAGUGGAACUCGAGUGUAGAGGUGAAAUUCGUAGAUAUUCGGAAGAACACCAGUGGCGAAGGCGACUUACUGGUCCAUUACUGACGCUGAGGCUCGAAAGCGUGGGGAGCAAACAGG
rnacentral:rRNA from 1 species